rnacentral:rRNA from 1 species
UACGUAGGGCGCAAGCGUUAUCCGGAAUUACUGGGCGUAAAGAGCUCGUAGGUGGUUUGUCGCGUUGUUCGUGAAAACCGGGGGCUUAACCCUCGGCGUGCGGGCGAUACGGGCAGACUGGAGUACUGCAGGGGAGACUGGAAUUCCUGGUGUAGCGGUGGAAUGCGCAGAUAUCAGGAGGAACACCGGUGGCGAAGGCGGGUCUCUGGGCAGUAACUGACGCUGAGGAGCGAAAGCGUGGGGAGCGAAUAGG